AGUAGAAAAUCAGCUCAGAUUAUGAGAAAGGCCCACAAACAAGGAAAAAAAAUUAAAGAAUGAACAGGCCUUGCGUCUCCAUCUUAUUGGUGGAAAAACUGCAGUGGUUUCAAAAUCAUCUGGAUCCCCCCAAAUUGGGGCAUUCAAACAAAGAUGCUUGUGAAUUAGUUGAAAGGUACUUAAAUAGAUUCAGCAGUGAGCUGGAGCAGAUGGAAUUAC
rnacentral:lncRNA from 1 species